CAAGAGUUAUAUCCGGGGUGUGAGAAUUUUUUAAAACUGAGUUUCACCAUUCGAAAGAGAUUUUUUAAAUUAGUGGAGGAAGGAAAACAAGAGUUAUAUUCGGGGUGUGAGAAUUUUUUAAAACUGAGUUUCACCAUUCGAUUGUACUUAUUGAAAUGCAUUCAUGGGUUGAGUAAUGUGGAUUUUUCAGACUUGUUAGACUUGUUGAAAGAGGCAUUUUCAUUUUCUCAGCUACCCGAGGCAAAAAAUAUGAUACAAGAUUUGGGUCUUAAUUUUGAAAAGAUACAUGCGUGCCCUAAUGAUUGCAUGGUUUUUUUAGAAUGAAAAUGCGGAGAAUGAUAAUUGCUAUGUGUGUGGAACUUCUAGAUGGAAGAAUGUUGUUGAUGGCUUGACUAAUACAAGCUCCAAAAUCCCUACAAAGGUUCUAAGGUACUUUCCCUUAAAGCCUAGGCUUCAGAGGAUAUUUAUGUGCUCUGAAACAGCUGCAGCUAUGAGAUGGCAUGCUACUGAACGACCCAAUGAUGGGAAUUUAAGACAUCCUACUGAUGGGGAAGCUUGGAAGGAUUUUGAUUUGUUGCACAAGGACUUCUCUCGAGAUCCUCGUAAUGUUAGAUUGGGUCUUUCAGACAUCCUGCAUGACUUUUCUGUUUCAGUUUUAACAAAACUUAAAAUACUGCUGAGAAGAUCUAUAGUUAUGAUUGUGUUUGCUGCUGCUAGUUUGGCAUUUGAGGUCCACCUUUUGGAUGAUUGGCUCUAACUGUUUUGUUUUUAUCAUAUUGACAGAGUUUCAUAGUCACGAGACAAGAAGAAUGCCUGAAACAAAAGAAAAAAAUAAAAAACUCAACAAGCAUUAUAUUAGUGCUGGAACACUUGCCUCCUUGGCAUACCAAAAGAAGUUAGCGCUGACCAGGAAAACAAAUGUUCCAUGUAGAUGUACACGGUCGAGUGAAGAGCACGAGCUUCUGCCAAAUUUAGCUGAAGACCAUCAGAUACUAGCACCACAAAAUUCAGGUGUAGUAGCCCGUAUACAAACAGAAACAACCACCCCUGCAGCAGAAACAUUUGAGGAACAAAUUCAAUUGAAUUCUACAACUGUUGCUGAACAAGAACAACGUGAACUACAAGACUCCUCUCCUCAAAAAAGGAAAAGAGGUAAAACAAAGAUGCUAAGCGUACAUGGAAGGCGUGGGCAAAAAUUGAUCCUAGUAAAUGAGAACAAUCAACCUGUUGGUCCUACUAAAGAUGUUGUGACAGAAUUGGGCAGUUUUCUCGGCAUAUUGGCAAGGAAUGCGACUCUUUUCCCUCUUGAUAUAUUUGAUUGGAGGAAAAUGGACACAAAAGAUGAUCUAUGGGCAUAUACCAAGGAGAAAUAUGAUAUUCCUGACACUGCAAAAAAAUGGACUUUGGAUACAAUUCAAGCUACUUGGAGAAGACACAAUAGUACUUUGAAAUUCAACCCAACUAAAGCUUAUUACUUACAAAUAAUGGCAUGCCUGCACUUAGAUAAAAAAAAUAGGAUAAUGAACUGGACUGUCCGACCUAUGGUACAACUUAACUGAACACCUCUUUGUCUGGUCUUGUUGACUCAUUUCCUUGCAGAAAAUGUCCGAGAUCAAUAUUGAGAAUCGAAAAAAUUGAAGAAUCCACACACGGUUGGCAAAACAAGCUUUGCUGUAAUCCGCAAUAAUUUGGAAAAAGAGAAGAACACUUCCGACCCUUAAUCACUUCGAGAAUUCUUUGUGGCUACAAGAGCAAGAAAACCUGGAAGGUUAUACAAGGACUCUAAUGAAGAUAGAACUAGUAAAAUUGUGCGAAUUCUGUCUAAUUGCUUUUCUGUUGAGAUAAAUUAUUUGUUCUUAUUGACUUUUUAUUUACUAGAAUUUUUUUUUUUAAAAUUGCAUUGUAUGCUGAAAUGGAAAAGAAUGAAACACAACAAAGUGAAGAUGGUAGCAAUUCUGUUAAUGCAUUUGAAGCCGUUAUGGGACCUGAACAUCCAGGACGUCUUAGAUUGUAUGGACGAGGUGUUACAAGAGCUUCUUUGAAAGAAAAAAAUGGGACAUUUUGAAUCCUCUUCAAAUGCUACAAACGAUCUGGUGAAACAGAUGGAAGAGAGGAUGAUAAGAAUGUUUGAGGAACAAAAGGAACAAUUUGAGAAACAGAAGGAACAGUACGAGGAACAAAAGAGAAUGAUGCCGACAAGAAUCUUUGAACAGUUUCAGUGUGCAGGAAUGCCAAUUGAUCCUAAUAUUUUAGCAACCAUGUGUGCUCGUUCACCAGGAGAAGCUUCAUCUGCACAACAAGUAGCAAUUCAACGAAUCAAUAGACCAUCUUUUGGUAGUAGCAAUCAAGGUGAACCAAAUGAUCAAGGGGGAGAUGAAAGCAGUGAAGACCUUACCUAAAAGUAUUUGUUGUACAAUCUUCAGACAAUUUAGGAAUGUUUUUAUUUUUGAACUAUUUUGCAAACUUAUAUAUACCAACUCUUGGAUUAUUAAAUACUAUUUAUCGUAUAUUUUGCUUUAUAAAUGGAUAAUCGUAGUUGUAUAUUUUGGA